UUUCAAGUAGUGACCAUCCUCAUUAUAAAGUAAUAUUUGUCCAGGGAAACCUGUUGUAUCUGCCAACCCUACCUAUUUCUUUGUGUAUAGAGAGCUAUAGUCAUCUUGUUGGGGCACUCACUGGUGAGUGCCACGGACUCCUCUGAUACAUGUCAUAUGAACAGCAAAUGUCAAUAAGGCUUGAUAGCCCCUUGUUACAGUAUCACAUAAUCCCCUUGUCCCAUCAAAAUGUAUUUAGCAACAUUG